rnacentral:lncRNA from 1 species
GGUAUAAUAAAUAACAAAACAUAAACAAAACAUAAUAAAUUGUUUGGCGUAUGUAGAAUUUGAUCCGCACUUAAGCAUCAGAACUAUUUCAGGCGAUUUAGGCAUACCUCGUUCUGCAGUUCACAGAAUUUUGCAGGAACACAGAUUCCAUCCAUUCCAUAUAGUACUCCACCAGGCAUUAAAUCUAGAAGACUAUGACAGAAGACUAGAUUAUUGUCAUUGGAUGGAGAAUAUGUAGCUCGAAAAUUUCUCAACGAAAUUUUAUGGACAGACGAAGCAACGUUCAAUAGUGACGGAGGAGUUAACAGACAUAAUAUGCACUAUUGGUCUGAAACUAACCCUCGUUGGAUGCGCGAGAUCCAGCAUCAGGGAAGGUGGAGUGUUAAUGUCUGGUGCGGUGUAAUAGGAUCUCAGGUUAUAGGUCCAUUUUUAUUUGAUGAGAGCCUAACUGGAGAACGAUAUAUUGGAUUUUUAAGAAAUGAGCUCCCAGCAUUAUUAGAAGAGGUGCCUCUGAUUAUAAGAGCCAACAUGUUUUUACAACAUGAUGGAUACCCGGCUCAUUUCGCGGUACAAGUGCGAACGUUCCUUAAUCAGCGGUACCCUGAUCGGUGGAUUGGCAGAGGUAGCUUUUUCCCUUGGCCGGCAAGAUCGCCAGAUUUAACCUGCCUUGCCUUUUAUUUAUGGGGUAGAAUAAAAGCCAUUGUAUUUUCUUCGAUUCCUACCGAUAGAGAAAAUAUGAAACAGCGAAUAAGGGGUUUACUAUUCGGAGUUUACCAGCCGCAGAAAUAGAGGCAGCCGUGGAAUCAACCCGACGAAGAGUUCAAAAUUGUAUAGAACAAGACGGACGACAAUUAGAUUAGUGUAGGUAGCCGAACACCUCGGCAGGCAUUAGAUUAGUGUAGGAAUUAAAAUAAUAUUAUUUUUUAUUCCAUUUAAAAUAAGCAAGAUUUUUAUCUUUUUUCAGUUUAAUCGGUACCAAGUGCCAAAACUAUCAAAAUAUUUUUGUCGUGUUACAAUGACGCGUCGACGUUGAUAAAUAUUUAAAACGUUCUUAUGCAUAGUUUUCCUAGUUUUCCCAUAAACAUUGAUUUAUUACCUGAUUUAUUACCAAUGAAACUUCCUGUGUAAAGAAGUGUAUAAAUAAACGCCACCUUCCGGAAUUUCUAAAAAGCUGGUAUACCAAGAUUGUUUCUCUACAUAAAGAUUCAUUUAGACACCAGUUUUUUUAACCCGGCUGGUAAAUAGAACUUAACGACCAUAUUUGAUGUUUUCACUUUCUAAUGAACACAUUUUUUUUUGUAACUUUAGUUAGAGACGUGAUAUCAAAAUGCGGGUUUUACUAAAUUAUUAAGCUUUGUUCUCCGCUCUUAAUACCGUGAAUAAACACACAUGGUUGCAUUUGAGUUUCUUAAAAUAAUCAGUCGAAUAGCGUA